UGAAUAACCAAUAGAUUCAGAACUGAAUAACCAAUAGAUUCAGAACUGAAUAACCAAUAGAUUCAGAACUGAAUAACCAACAGAUUCAGAACUGAAUAACCAAUAGAUUCAGAACUGAAUAACCAAUAGAUUCAGAACUGAAUAACCAAUAGAUUCAGAACUGAAUAACCAAUAGAUUCAGAACUGAAUAACCAAUAGAUUCAGAACUGAAUAACCAAUAGAUUCAGAACUGAAUAACCAAUAGAUUCAGAACUGAAUAACCAAUAGAUUCAGAACUGAAUAACCAAUAGAUUCAGAACUGAAUAACCAACAGAUUCAGAACUGAAUAGACAGACCAUCAGAGUUCUUCAUGAUAUGUUCUGUUGAAUGCAUCAAUACAGGACAUCCCAUGAUCAGAUUUAAGGGAAUAUCAUAGUGUUUUACUGGAACAGUUUAAUACUGGACUGUUAAACACUGGACUGUGGAGCUUCAUCUGGGUUUUAUCUCUGCAUCAUUAUGUUUGUAGAGAAACAAACAGAAAGAGCUGUGCUUUUUAUUUCAAGAAAGUAUGACAGGUAUCUACAGCAUCUUAAGCAAAUAGAGAGUGAAAGAAAGAAGGAAGGAAAGAAAGAAGGAAGGAAGCAAAGAAGAUAAGAAGGAAGGAAGGAAAGAAGAUAAGAAGGAUGGAAGGAAAGAAGAUAAGAAGGAAGGAAAGAAAGAAAGAAGGAAGGAAAGAAGGAAGGAAAUAAGGAAGGAAAGAAGGAAAGAAAGAAGGAAGGAAGGAAAGGAAGGAAGCAAAGAAGAUAAGAAGAAAGGGAGGAAAGAAGAUAAGAAGGAAGGAAAGAAAGAAGGAAGGAAAGAAGGAAGGAAAGAAGGAAGGAAAGAAAGAAGGAAGGAAAGGGGAAUGGUAAAGCGUGAGAGAGAUGCCAGAGAGACUGCAGCCUGCAUGACCCCUCCUUGCUCGCUGCACGAAAACAAAUGACAUCAGAAAUUCUGCCAAUCAGCUGAUGUGGUGACUCAAGCGGUGGUAACCAAGCAGCGGCUCCAGGUUUCCUCCACAGCUACACACACACACACACACACACACACACACACACACACACACACACACACACACACACACACACACACACACACACACACACACACACACACACACACACCAGGUUUCCUUCCUCCAUUCCCAGCUCAUCAUGUAAACAACUCACACUACCAUGAAAGCCUAGAGAGAUACGGUACGUUAAUUAAAAUAAGACCAUUUAAUCCCAGAUAGUAACUAGAAUCCCAGAUAGUAACUAGAAUAGUAACUAGAAUCCCAGAUAGUAACUAGAAUCCCAGACAGUAACUAGAAUAGUAACUAGAAUCCCAGAUAGUAACUAGAAUCCCAGAUAGUAACUAGUAUCCCUGAUUGUAACUAGAAUCCCAGAUAGUAACUAGAAUAGUAACUAGAAUCCCUGAUAGUAACUAGAAUCCCUGAUAGUAACUAGAAUAGUAACUAGAAUCUCAGAUAGUAACUAGAAUAGUAACUAGAAUCCCAGAUAGUAACUAGAAUCCCUGAUAGUAACUAGAAUCCCUGAUUGUAACUAGAAUCCCUGAUAGUAACUAGAAUAGUAACUAGAAUCCCUGAUAGUAACUAGAAUCCCUGAUAGUAACUCCAGGCCUGAGCGUCUAAUAAACAGUGUACGACCCCAUAACCCCCUAAGCUGCAGUCGUACCAGUUCCAUAAAGACCCUUCUUCAUGUCUGAAGCGACAGCAGCUUGACUGAGGCAAACAACUACAUUGUGUAUCUUGUAGAUUUAUAAUUCAAGUCAAACCAUCCCAAUCCCUCUAAAUCAAGUGAUUUCACACACUGACACCUCAGGAUUACUCAGCUCCAGCCCUAUCAAAGGGAAUCUAUUUAGCUCAACCCAACAAUGUUAAAGGCAAUUAAUAAUGGGUGGCAGAGCUGGCCCUGUUAAACAUAAUUGGGUGUAAUUGAACUCCCUUCUACCAAAAGGACUAAAGGCAUGAACCAUGCCAUUACCCAUGACAACGUGAUGAGGUUUAGUUCACAUCGAACACCAUCUCCAGGUCAAUAAGCUGUUCACGGUCCCAGUCUUAUGACUUGGUGGAUGGUGGAUGAACGGCCUUUGGGCUAGGCAUUAUGAAUCCUACCCUGUUCUGUCAUGUGUAUAGAGAAAGACACACACACAGGCCUGUCUUUUAAACUCUGGCUUCUUUCACUGGGAUGAAGGGUUCUUAAUAGAAACCUAACGGGUGGGAGUACGGCUAUCAGGAAAGAGAGGAGGAAAGGUAGAGAGGAGAGGAGGAGAGUAGAAGAGAGAGAGAGAGAGAGAGAGAGAGAGAGAGAGAGAGAGAGAGAGAGAGAGAGAGACAGAGGGAGAGAGAGAGACAGAGGGAGAGAGAGAGACAGAGAGACAGAGGGAGAGAGAGACAGAGACAGAGAGAGAGAGAGAGAGAGAGAGAGAGAGAGAGAUAGAGAGAGAGAGAGAGACCACUGUGACUGACCCAAACUUAAGGAAAGCUUUGACUAUGUACAGACUCAGUGAGCAUAGCCUUGCUAUUGAGAAAGGCCGCCGUAGGCAGACAUGGCUCUCAAGAGAAGACAGGCUAUGUGCACACUGCCCACAAAAUGAGGUGGAAACCGAGCUGCACUUCCUAACCUCCUGCCCAAUGUAUGACCAUAUUAGAGACACAUAUUUCCCUCAGAUCACACAGAUCCACAAAGAAUUCGAAAACAAAUCCAAUUUUGAUAAACUCCCAUAUCUACUGGGUGAAAUACCACAAUGUGCAUCACAGCAGCAAGAUUUGUGACCUGUUGCCACAAGAAAAGGGCAACCAGUGAAGAACAAACACCAUUGUUAAUACAACCCAUAUUUAUGCUUAUUUAUUUUAACUUGUGUGCUUUAACCAUUUGUACAUUGUUACAACACUGUAUAUGUUUAAUAUGACACUCGUAAUGUCUUUAUUGUUUUGAAACUUCUGUAUGUGUAAUGUUUACUGUUAAUUCGUUUUGUUUGUUUCACUUUUGUGUAUUGUCUACCUCACUUGCUUUGGCAAUGUUAACACAUGUUUCCCAUGCCAAUAAAGCCCCUUGAAUUGAAUUGAAUUGAAUUGAGAGAGAGAGAGAGAGAGAGAGAGACAGAGAGAGAGAGAGAGAGAGAGACAGAGAGAGAGAGAGACAGAGACAGAGAGAGAGAGAGAGACAGAGGGAGAGAGAGACUAUUCCAUACAUAAGUUCGGUCUUACUAUGUGAUAAGUGCGUGUGUAACAGUAUAUUGUUGGAAGAUUCUGUUCUGACUUUCACAGGCUAGAGCUGGCAAUACUGACCAUUCAGAAGAAAGAGCCAAAAGGUGUCUGUGGUGUACGAUCGUCUGAAUCUGAUAUGGAAGACACAUCACAUCAGCAGAAAAUCCAAACGAGAGAGCUCGGUGUGGAUAUUUGCACACCGUCUAGCGUCAAGGGAACUCGCUGGAUCCCCCUAUGGGCACAGAGCCCUCAGUGUUCCUGAAGCCAUGGACAAGACAAGGACCACUGACGAAGGCCAGUACUCCGUGGUUCUGCAGCCCAUGGGGCACCUGGCCGUAGCAUCAACAACCGCCGGAAGUUCAAGGGCGGGAAAAGAAGGGGCUAACACUGAAGGGGAAUCUGAAAGGCUUCACGGACCUCACCAACCCCCAGCUGAAGCAGCACAUGGAGGCAGCCAUCAACAUGGGCGUGGACGAUCUCAAAGACGGGCUUGGUGGUUUGCUGAAGAAUGAGGAUGUCCAGACCCCAGUGGACUCUUUCAGAGUGCUAAACCCCUGACACAUGACCAGAAGACCAGGCCUUCUCACCUUUGGCGAUGAUGGUGUGGCAGGAACUGAUGAAGCAUUUCAAGGAGCCUCCAGAGAGAUCAGGGUGCAACACGGCUGUAAUCCAGGAUGAGUGGCAGGGGCUGAACAUCCUGGUCAGACACAAUCCAGGAUGAGUGACAGGGGCUGAACAUCCUGGUCAGACACAAUCCAGGAUGAGUGGCAGGGGCUGAACAUCCUGGUCAGACACAAUCCAGGAUGAGUGACAGGGGCUGAACAUCCUGGUCAGACACAAUCCAGGAUGAGUGACAGGGGCUGAACAUCCUGGUCAGACACAAUCCAGGAUGAGUGGCAGGGGCUGAACAUCCUGGUCAGACACAAUCCAGGAUGAGUGACAGGGGCUGAACAUCCUGGUCAGACACAAUCCAGGAUGAGUGGCAGGGGCUGAAAAUCCUGGUCAGACACAAUUUCAAGGACAAGUCCUACAGUGGCCUGUGGGAGACCAUGUUGACAAAGGACUCCUACAGGCACGAUUACAAGGUCGACUAACAGUGCAGAGUGGUUAUGUAUGGGUUGUUCGAUUCCCACGGGGGACCAGUACAAAAAAAGUAUGAAUGUAUGUACUUGUAAGUCGCUCUGGAUAAGAGCGUCUGCUAAAUGACUUAAAUGUAAAUGUAAAUGUAAUAAAGUUAAUGGUAAGAGUUUAAAUGAAAUGGAAAGAUAUCAUAUUUUCCCGAGAACAUACUGGAGUUGGUGCAGCUUAUGUUGGUGCUGCCCAUUACAGCCAACCCAGUGUGAGCGAGGCUUCUCUGCACAGAACCGGAUUUUAAGAAUUCAACAAGGUACUGCCUUGGGGUCUCCACCGCCGAAGACCUGAUGAGGAUCAGCCUGGAGGGGCCUCCUGUCGAGGAGUUGGAUCUCACUCCUGCCGUGGACAGCUGGCUGACCUCUAAGCCAGACGGCCAACAUACACAAGCAGCUGGACAUCUGAUAUCCUACGCGUCUAGUAGGCAAUGGUCAACGUGUGGUUUUGGUGGUAUGUGCUGUUGCACAGAUGUGUGUCCCUUAGUACCCACACACACUCACACACGCAGUAUAAAUAUGUUUGGAAUAAAUAGUUAGUUAAUAAACUCUGUGUUACUUGAACACUGUGCUCCUAAAUCUCUUUGUGUGCUCCUAAAUCGCUUUGUGUGCUCCUAAAUCUCUUUGUGUGCUCCUAAAUCUCUUUGUGUGCUCCUACAUCUCUUUGUGUGCUCCUACAUCUCUUUGUGUGCUCCUACAUCUCUUUGUGUGCUCCUAAAUAUCUUUGUGUGCUCCUAAAUAUCUUUGUGUGCUCCUCUUUGUGUGCUCCUACAUCUCUUUGUGUGCUCCUAAAUCUCUUUGUGUGCUCCUACAUCUCUUUGUGUGCUCCUAAAUCUCUUUGUGUGCUCCUACAUCUCUUUGUGUGCUCCUAAAUCUCUUUGUGUGCUCCUACAUCUCUUUGUGUGCUCCUAAAUCUCUUUGUGUGCUCCUAAAUCUCUUUGUGUGCUCCUAAAUCUCUUUGUGUGCUCCUACAUGUUUUUCAUUUAGGAGCACAUGUAACUCCUUGGGGGGAAAAGUUAGCGUAGUAGAACCCUGUAAUUGUAACGCUUCUCGUGGGCUGAAGCGUUUAAAGUGUUCAUAAUUUAAUCCAAAAACCAAAUCGAACAAAAACAACAAACAGGAGAAUGAAAGGGAAACAGUUCUGUCUGGUGCAGAAACACAAACAGAAAACAACUACCCACAAAACACAGGUGGGAAAAGGAUACCUAAGUAUGGUUCUCAAUCAGAGACAACGAUAGACAGCUGUCCCUGAUUGAGAACCACACCCGGCCAAACACACAGAAAUAGACAACAUAGAACACAAAAACAUAGAAUGCCCACCCCAAAUCACACCCUGACCAAACCAAAAUAGAGACAUAAAAAGGAUCUCUAAAUUCAGGGCGUGACAGUAAUGUAUCUUUACAUUUACUCAAGUAUGACAACGUAGUACUUUUUCCCCCACUGGAUGUGACUGGGGGUCACAGCAUCAAUAUAAUUUAUUUUAUUUAUUUCACAUGACCCAUCAAUUUAGACCAGUGUGUCUGGGGUCAACAUCAUCUAAUAUGUAUACAGUAUCUUUAUCUGGACACCACUUUUAGUCUUGAUAUUUACUACACUACUCACCCUGUUUAGCACAUGGCCUCACAUGUGAAUCCUGAAAAGAGAUGGGUGGGGCUUAAGGCUUAAGAGGGUGUGAACGAUGCUGAAUGGUCUGUAGACAAAGAACAGCUCUCCAGUAGUAGUAAGUACCAAGACAUUCAAGGGCCAUUUUCUCAAAAAGUGGAGUUACACAUUUAUCAACUUUCAAAGCAGAAUUACUGUCUCAUUGUUCCUCAACAGCAAUGUAUAAUCUACCAUUUUGUAGCUCUGAGUCUCUACUUUUAUCCAAUGUUAAAACAAAUAAAAAAUUCAAAUUGUUCUA